AGAGUUUGAUCCUGGCUCAGGACGAACGCUGGCGGCACGCUUAACACAUGCAAGUCGAACGAGAGAAGAGGAGCUUGCUUUUCUGAUCUAGUGGCGGACGGGUGAGUAACACGUGAGCAAUCUGCCUUUCAGAGGGGGAUACCGAUUGGAAACGAUCGUUAAUACCGCAUAACAUAAUUGAACCGCAUGAUUUGAUUAUCAAAGAUUUAUCGCUGAAAGAUGAGCUCGCGUCUGAUUAGCUAGUUGGUAAGGUAACGGCUUACCAAGGCGACGAUCAGUAGCCGGACUGAGAGGUUGAUCGGCCACAUUGGGACUGAGACACGGCCCAGACUCCUACGGGAGGCAGCAGUGGGGAAUAUUGCACAAUGGAGGAAACUCUGAUGCAGCGAUGCCGCGUGAGGGAAGAAGGUUUUAGGAUUGUAAACCUCUGUCUUCAGGGACGAAAAAAGACGGUACCUGAGGAGGAAGCUCCGGCUAACUACGUGCCAGCAGCCGCGGUAAUACGUAGGGAGCGAGCGUUGUCCGGAAUUACUGGGUGUAAAGGGAGCGUAGGCGGGAUCGCAAGUCAGAUGUGAAAACUAUGGGCUUAACCCAUAAACUGCAUUUGAAACUGUGGUUCUUGAGUGAAGUAGAGGUAAGCGGAAUUCCUAGUGUAGCGGUGAAAUGCGUAGAUAUUAGGAGGAACAUCAGUGGCGAAGGCGGCUUACUGGGCUUUAACUUACGCUGAGGCUCGAAAGCGUGGGGAGCAAACAGGAUUAGAUACCCUGGUAGUCCACGCCGUAAACGAUGAUUACUAGGUGUGGGGGGACUGACCCCUUCCGUGCCGCAGCAAACGCAAUAAGUAAUCCACCUGGGGAGUACGACCGCAAGGUUGAAACUCAAAGGAAUUGACGGGGGCCCGCACAAGCAGUGGAGUAUGUGGAUUAAUUCGAAGCAACGCGAAGAACCUUACCAGGUCUUGACAUCGUAUGCAUAGCUCAGAGAUGAGUGAAAUCUCUUCGGAGACAUAUAGACAGGUGGUGCAUGGUUGUCGUCAGCUCGUGUCGUGAGAUGUUGGGUUAAGUCCCGCAACGAGCGCAACCCUUACUGUUAGUUGCUACGCAAGAGCACUCUAGCAGGACUGCCGUUGACAAAACGGAGGAAGGUGGGGAUGACGUCAAAUCAUCAUGCCCCUUAUGACCUGGGCCUCACACGUACUACAAUGGCUGUCAACAGAGGGAAGCAAAGCCGCGAGGUGGAGCGAACCCCUAAAAGCAGUCUUAGUUCGGAUUGUAGGCUGCAACCCGCCUACAUGAAGUCGGAAUUGCUAGUAAUCGCAGAUCAGCAUGCUGCGGUGAAUACGUUCCCGGGCCUUGUACACACCGCCCGUCACGCCAUGGGAGUCGGUAACACCCGAAGCCUGUAGUCUAACCGCAAGGAGGACGCAGUCGAAGGUGGGAUUGAUGACUGGGGUGAAGUCGUAACAAGGUA
rnacentral:rRNA from 1 species